GGGUCUCCUUCUGGAGCCAGGAUCUCCCUCUCUAUGGAGCUAGGAUCUCCCCUGAGGAGCCUGGAACUCUCCUCUAGAGCCGGGAUCUCCCUUGUGGAGCCGGGGUCUCCUCUGAGGAGCUGGAUUCCCCUCUGAGGAACUGGGCUCUCCCUAUAGAGCCGGGAUCUCCCUGUGGAGCAGCACCGAGGGGAUGAUAGGGGCGCAGGUGGUGUGCUACUGACUUUGAUUUUGUGCCAUUGAAUGUAAUCAGACUCCAGGGUUGAAAACAAGGGGAAAGCAAUUAGACAGAUUCUGCAACCAGCUCUUGCAACCAGUGAAUCAACUGGAGAAGGCAGCAGUUGUUUGAGAUUUGUCAUGCCAUUGCCUAUGUUUACAGUGCAUGAUCAAGAAAAGGGGACACACCUGUCUCCAGGAGGAGAUAGAGCAAGACCUGACAAGGCUGGUAAAAUUAAGUGAAGGGUGAGGAAGGAAUAUGGGAGGAGAAAGGAACUCUCAUUUGAAAAAAAAAAAAUAAAGGUAAAUGUAAAGAAACAAAAAAGAAUAAUUGCAGUUUUUAGAAAGUCCUUUGCUGGCCAUCUUUAAAUGUCCCCUACAGUAAUUUACCUGUAGUUAAGUAUGGAGGGAGGUAGACGGGAACAGAGCUAUAAGGGAA